CACCGCCCGUCACACUAUGGAAGCUGGCUAUGCCCGAAGUCUUUCACUUAACCACAAGGAGGGGGAUGCCGAAGGCAGGACUAGUGAUGACUGGAGUGAAGUCGUAACAAGGUAGCCAUACUGGAAGGUACAUCUA
rnacentral:ncRNA from 1 species